rnacentral:rRNA from 1 species
AUUGAACGCUGGCGGCAGGCCUAACACAUGCAAGUCGAGCGGAUGAAGGGAGCUUGCUCCUGGAUUCAGCGGCGGACGGGUGAGUAAUGCCUAGGAAUCUGCCUGGUAGUGGGGGAUAACGUCCGGAAACGGGCGCUAAUACCGCAUACGUCCUGAGGGAGAAAGUGGGGGAUCUUCGGACCUCACGCUAUCAUAUGAGCCUAGGUCGGAUUAGCUAGUUGGUGGGUAAAGGCCUACCAAGGCGACGAUCCGUAACUGGUCUGAGAGGAUGAUCAGUCACACUGGAACUGAGACACGGUCCAGACUCCUACGGGAGGCAGCAGUGGGGAAUAUUGGACAAUGGGCGAAAGCCUGAUCCAGCCAUGCCGCGUGUGUGAAGAAGGUCUUCGGAUUGUAAAGCACUUUAAGUUGGGAGGAAGGGCAGUAAGUUAAUACCUUGCUGUUUUGACGUUACCAACAGAAUAAGCACCGGCUAACUUCGUG